rnacentral:ncRNA from 1 species
GUAGUGCUAAAACUCGACGGUGCCUCUUCGAUGAGGUGAAAAGGGAACGUGGUGGAAAACCACGGCUGCCCCCGCAACUGUAAGCGGCGAACCGAAGCCAGAGGCCACUGGGCGCGUCCCGGGAAGGCGGCGGAAGGUUUAGACCCGCGAGCCAGGAGACCUGCCGUCACCAGUGCUUCUCAU